rnacentral:rRNA from 1 species
CCUACGGGUGACAGCAGUGGGGAAUAUUUCACAAUGGGGGAAACCCUGAUGCAGCGACGCCGCGUGAGCGAUGAAGUAUUUCGGUAUGUAAAGCUCUAUCAGCAGGGAAGAAAAUGACGGUACCUGACUAAGAAGCCCCGGCUAACUACGUGCCAGCAGCCGCGGUAAUACGUAGGGGGCAAGCGUUAUCCGGAUUUACUGGGUGUAAAGGGAGCGUAGACGGAUGUGCAAGCCAGAUGUGAAAGUCCGGGGCUAAACCCCGGGACUGCAUUUGGAACUGUGUGGCUGGAGUGUCGGAGAGGCAGGCGGAAUUCCUAGUGUAGGGGUGAAAUGCGUAGAUAUUAGGAGGAACACCAGUGGCGAAGGCGGCCUGCUGGACUGCAACUGACGUUGAGGCCCGAAAGCGUGGGGAGCAAACAGGAUUAGAUACCCCUGUAGUC